rnacentral:sRNA from 1 species
UCAAUUUGUUAAGGUGAGUGCGUGACCAUGAGCUUAUCUAAGCGAUUGGGUUGUGUGAUUUGUUUUGUGUGAUGAUAUGUAAGUGUUGUGAAUGUGUUUUGGGUGAAUUGUUCAAUGACUGGUUUGUUUGUAUUGUAUUCGUGAUUAUACCUUUGUAUUUGCUUGUGUGUAUAGUUCGUAGAUGGGAGUAUCGCCUCACUAAGUAUUUAUGAUAAUACUUACGCAUCUCAUUGUGUUGUUGAUGCAUGUAAAGAUAAAGUGUGAUCGUGGAAUCAUAACAAGGAAGAGAGGAUGAUCUAGGAACUCGUUUGUUUUAUUUUUGGUGUUUUUGGUUAUUGGAACCCGG